UACGAGGGGGGCAAGCGUUAUCCGGAAUUAUUGGGCGUAAAGCGCUCGCAGGCGGUUUCUUAAGUCUGAUGUGAAAGCCCACGGCUCAACCGUGGAGGGUCAUUGGAAACUGGGAGACUUGAGUGCAGAAGAGGAGAGUGGAAUUCCACGUGUAGCGGUGAAAUGACGUAGAGAUGUGGAGGAACACCAGUGGCGAAGGCGACUCUCUGGUCUGUAACUGACGCUGAGGAGCGAAAGCG
rnacentral:rRNA from 1 species